CAUUCUGUUCUCCUGAGCAGAGCCUGGACCCCUCUGGGGUCCACCAACUUCCAUUUCCCUCUUCAGAGGGUGACUACUCAAAGGAAGAUUCCCCUUCCUGCACUUAUAUCCUUUCUCCCUUCUGCCCCUCCAUAGUAUCUCAAUACAACAGGGCCUCCUAUGACAGCCAGAAUUAGAAAUGGCUGUUCCACUACUGUAAGAAGGAACCUGAUAGAGGACUCCCCCCAUUUAACCAAAAUAAUUCUGUCUCCUCUUUUAUUUUUCAAGAAGAAAGGCCUCUUUGCUUCAAACUCCUUCAAUUUCUCAAUCUCAUUUCCAAUCCGAAGUCAUAAACCUCCAUUUGUGACAUAACAAUUAAUUGUGGUUGAGAUAAUUAAGAUGUCACAAACAGACGACAACAACUUCAGGUAGGAAAUUAGUAGCAGGAGCAGAUGAUCUCUUAAGCAAGAAAGAUCCCACUGUCAUGCAAAUUGCUCUAGUGAUAAAGAAAGCAAUGGAAGAAAAAUGCUGAAUGGGAAAUAUGAAAUGAGCCAAAUAACCUCUCAACAGAAUGUUUUCUCAGUUUUCCAGAAGGUUUAUCAGUCUUUCAAGAUAUUUUAAAUGCUGUGGGGAGGAGGGAGAAUAAAAAGCUGGGGAGGGAGCACUAUUCAUCUGCAAGUUUGUAGGAAAGGAAGAUGGGAAGAGUUCUUCAGCCAGACUGCCUCAGGAGAGCUGGGCACACUUGUCAGGUGACACAUACUUUUGCUUUGUGACAUGAAAUUGAGAUUUCUAAACAAGAGAAUAAAAUAGUUGGGCACUACUAUACUAUGAGGUAUUUUUUUAUAAAGGCUAUAUAAAACCCUAGUAAAUAACAGAGUUUGUCUUGGAGAGACUUUUGAAAGUAAACUCAAAAGGUAAUGCUGCUUCCAGCACUUUGAUGCUUUAUCAAUGUCUAAAGCUGCCUGUAUUUUGUAGUAUAGAUAGAUAGAUAGAUAAGGGGGAAAUGUUAUUUUAUUGCAUUUGUUACUUAAAAGUUCUUAUCACAAUAUGUGUAGUUUAGAGAUCUGAGCAGAUAAGACAAAGCUGAUGCUGACAGUGAAGGAUGUGUGGCUCUUGGUUGGGGAAAAUGUUUCCUAUGGCCAAAGCAAAACCUAUGAGAGGACACAGGAAGCCCUCUGAAGUCCUCGAUAAUCCCUCCAAUUGGGAUUUCUCCUAGGAGCUUUGCAUCAGGUGCAAACCUGCUCAGCUGAGCCCCGCACACAGCCCAAUUUAUUUACAUAACUGACAAGGUAGAAAGUAUCAUACUGGGAGCAGGUUUCUGAAUUUGCAUGUUGGAAGUCUUGUUUCUGUGCCUAUCUUCUCUGUUCACUUGUGUAAUAUUUAACAGCAGUUUGAAGACUCCUUAUUUAUACAGCACAAGGAAGUGGAAAUCUCUUCUACAAUUGGCUUGCUCUUUGAUAAUGAUGUCAGUAUUUUCCCCUUGAUAAGAUUAAAAGUAUGUUUAAGGGACCAGCAUUCCCAGAGGCAUCCAUAUGCAUACAGGGAACUCAAAUGAAACGUGACAAAUGUACAGGAACCAGCCAUGUGGCAAUUGCACAUGAAUCCACCAUAAACACACCAUGCACAGUUUUAUGGUUUAAAGGCUCAUUUAAUUCCUUUUUCUAAUUUGCAUAUUAAAUAGCCACGUGUACAGGAAGAAAAAGAGUGAUGGGGUACUUCCCCCAGCUAUUGUUAAGCGCUCAGCCUAUGUUGGGGUGUUGAGUAAAUUAAGAAAACUCAUCACUGCAGUACUCUUCUGUCACUGACAGCAAGAGGCUCUCACAGGGGGUGACACAGAGAAGCAGCUCACUUUAGAGUAAGUCAUGAUAACUGUUUUCCAGCCCAGCAGCCAGAGAGAGCAGGCUCUGAGGCAGAGGACCCAGAAUGAGAUUACUCCCUCCACCUCUCAUUAUGCAUGGAAGUUUCCCCACUGACUUCAACAGAGCUGAGAUUUUAUCAUCAAUGUGUCUUUCUGUCACAAUGGGGGCACUGCUAUUCAGUUUACUACUGAGACAAUAUAAUAAAAGACCUUUCACUCUUGACUUAACAACUUGCCAAUGUGGGAAUGCACAGGUAUUUCAAUGCUCCAAAGCAUCCUAGUUUCCAUUCUAUUCAAAUUCUCACUUGACAACCAAGUGUGUGAGCCAUCUGAGAGCCUUUUUUGCCACUCAGAGUGUGAUCUGGAUAUUUUAUAUGCUAGCAACACUAAGUACUGACAUAUUGCACUUACUGUAAAGAAAAAAAAAACGCAACACAUAUCUCACCCCUGACAAAGUUUUAUGAGUCUGACACAGAUCUUCUGUAUAUCAACUUGACUCAAAAUAACUUUGUGAAGAUCAUUUUCAAGCUUCUAAAUAUAUAAAAAAUUAAUACAAUUACAGUUCACUGAAAAAUUAGCAUGAAAUACAUUCUGAAAGCUAAAAUCAUUCACGGCAAAGUAAUGUUCCAUUUAAUUACAAAGAUUAAUUCAGCCUUUAUGUACGUGUCUGGUCAUUUCAUUUUUCAUUGAAAACAGAUAAUUCAAGAGCCAUCUGGUAAAACUGCUGCAUAAAUAUCACUGCAUCUAACUAGGUCUUACGUAUAGAAAAACUAGGAAAAUGGAGUUAUGGAUCUUGGCAAAACACAGAAAAGUUCCAACACAGGGCUAAAGCCCAGUCCUACAGAUGUCAGUAAGAAGUGACCCACUGAUUUGAGUGAGAGAUAGACUGGGCUCACCUUAAUGAUGCAUAGUAUUUCCUUUGUGGAGCCACAUGAAAUCUCAGGGAUUUGCACAUUGUCAAAUACAAUCAAAAGUGAAGUGUCAAUUCAAACAUGAACACUUGGCCUGAAAUGGCAAUUUUUAACAGUACUUGAUCUACAGUGAACUGUCUGUAAUCCAUACUCCAGAAUAUAGAUAAUCAUUAAACUAUUUAUUUUUAAACCUUGGCUUUAACUGUCCUCUUUUAUUUGUAUGUCACAAUAAUAAAAUAAUAGAAACUGA